rfam:Dipodomys ordii contig_50146, whole genome shotgun sequence.
GGGAAGGUGGCUUAGUGGUAGAGCACUUGCCUUGCAUGCAUGAUGCCUUGGGUUUGAUUCCCCAUCACCACA